rnacentral:rRNA from 1 species
GACGAACGCUGGCGGCAGGCCUAACACAUGCAAGUCGAACGGUAACAGGAAGAAGCUUGCUUCUUUGCUGACGAGUGGCGGACGGGUGAGUAAUGUCUGGGAAACUGCCUGAUGGAGGGGGAUAACUACUGGAAACGGUAGCUAAUACCGCAUAACGUCGCAAGACCAAAGAGGGGGACCUUCGGGCCUCUUGCCAUCGGAUGUGCCCAGAUGGGAUUAGCUAGUCGGUGGGGUAACGGCUCACCUAGGCGACGAUCCCUAGCUGGUCUGAGAGGAGGACCAGCCACACUGGAACUGAGACACGGUCCAGACUCCUAAGGGAGGCAGCAGUGGGGAAUAUUGCACAAUGGGCGCAAGCCUGAUGCAGCCAUGCCGCGUGUAUGAAGAAGGCCUUCGGGUUGUAAAGUACUUUCAGCGGGGAGGAAGGGAGUAAAGUUAAUACCUUUGCUCAUUGACGUUACCCGCAGAAGAAGCACCGGCUAACUCCGUG